CAGACACCAACCAGCUGCCUCUAGGAGGAAAUGGCAAAUCCUGGCUGAGCAGGGCUGUCAGAUCAGCCCACAUCGCCUCGCCCACUUGGUGGUUGCCUAUCUCCACUUGGCAGAUUUUGCAAGGAAGAUUAUGCAGAAUUCCAACCAGCAGACCUACACUCUAAGAUGUUGUCCUCACAGCAAGUUUGCUCUGUUACCCACAGUUCCCGCAUGCAGCUUUGGUGUGACUCAGCCCUGUGUCCCAGAGUGAGCCCUCCGUGACAGUGGGCCAGGUGAGAGAUGGCGCAUGCAGAAGGAGGUGGCUCCCAAAGAAGCUCCAGGGGCGGAGGUGCAGGCAGGAAGCAGGCGUAGACAGAGCCUUCAUUCUGUUCCUGAGGAAGAAAUAGUAUCCUGAAGGAGUCCAGAAAAGUUGGAC